rnacentral:misc_RNA from 1 species
UCCUCCCUUUUUUUGUGUUCCUUAUAUUCAGUAACAGAAUGAACACCAACUCUCAUGCAUAAGCAAAGAAAAGAAUAAAUCAAUUAUGAUUUGCAGGAGUUUCGCUCUGAUAUUAUGGACAUGGUGCCAUGGCUCUCCGUAUUAACGACGAUCAUUGCAAAGAAGCUGCAAUGAAGGCACAUUAUUGGGGUAGAGUCCAUGUCCACUUCCUUCCAAGCCAGAAGGGAAACUGUAAUAUUGUCCUUUGAUCCUUGAAUUAGUUCGUGACGUAGAAAUGGACAUAAGCUCCUGCUCGUUCAACAAGGGUGGAACAUACUUGGAAGAAAGUGCUUCCAUCGAGGAAGAAGAAGCUGCCAAUUGAGCUUGAGAAGGUCCAAAGAUAGGCAUUGGUCGCCCUGCAUUUUGCCAGUCUCGCAUUUGUGAGGUAGAGACUCCACCAAACUUGUACUGAGCAGCGAAAUGGGCAUUUUGUAGUUCAUUCUGCUGCGACAUUUGUCUUGGUAAGGCCAUAGCAGCUUCUCUUGACGGACAAAAUGACGCACCUCCAAG